rnacentral:rRNA from 1 species
UACGUAGGGGGCAAGCGUUGUUCGGAGUUACUGGGCGUAAAGGGUGUGUAGGCGGUUCCUUAAGUUUGCUGUGAAAUCUCCCGGCUUAACCGGGAGGGUGCGGUGAAUACUGAGGGACUAGAGUACGGGAGAGGAAAGUGGAAUUCCUGGUGUAGCGGUGAAAUGCGUGAGAUAGUCAGGAGGAACACCGGUGGCGAAGGCGGCGACCUGGUCCGAUACUGACGCUGAGGCGCGAAAGCGUGGGGAGCAAACAGG